GAUGAACGCUGGCGGCGUGCCUAAUACAUGCAAGUCGAGCGAACAGACGAGGAGCUUGCUCCUCUGACGUUAGCGGCGGACGGGUGAGUAACACGUGGAUAACCUACCUAUAAGACUGGGAUAACUUCGGGAAACCGGAGCUAAUACCGGAUAAUAUAUUGAACCGCAUGGUUCAAUAGUGAAAGACGGUUUUGCUGUCACUUAUAGAUGGAUCCGCGCCGCAUUAGCUAUUUGGUAAGGUAACGGCUUACCAAGGCGACGAUGCGUAGCCGACCUGAGAGGGUGAUCGGCCACACUGGAACUGAGACACGGUCCAGACUCCUACGGGAGGCAGCAGUAGGGAAUCUUCCGCAAUGGGCGAAAGCCUGACGGAGCAACGCCGCGUGAGUGAUGAAGGUCUUCGGAUCGUAAAACUCUGUUAUUAGGGAAGAACAAAUGUGUAAGUAACUAUGCACGUCUUGACGGUACCUAAUCAGAAAGCCACGGCUAACUACGUG
rnacentral:rRNA from 1 species